rnacentral:misc_RNA from 1 species
AAGUCGUAACAAGGUUUCCGUAGGUGAACCUGCGGAAGGAUCAUUAUCGUGUUUUUGUUUUGUCCUCUUCGGAGGAUUCAACAACAAACGUAUUCACCCAAUCGUGAACUUGUUCCUGGAGAAAGGUUGACGUCAAAGUUGACCAAUUUCCAAUUAAUAUUUUAUCUUAAACUUUAUUCACCACUUGUAUUCAAUGUGCUAAACUAAAAUCUUGGAUGAAUCUCUUUCGAGAGUUUCUGAAAAGAAAGUACGAAAUUGCUGAACAACUCUUAGCAACGGAUAUCUUGGUUCUC